AGUGAACGCUGGCGGUAGGCCUAACACAUGCAAGUCGAACGGCAGCACAGUAAGAGCUUGCUCUUACGGGUGGCGAGUGGCGGACGGGUGAGGAAUACAUCGGAAUCUACUUUUUCGUGGGGGAUAACGUAGGGAAACUUACGCUAAUACCGCAUACGACCUACGGGUGAAAGCAGGGGAUCUUCGGACCUUGCGCGAUUGAAUGAGCCGAUGUCGGAUUAGCUAGUUGGCGGGGUAAAGGCCCACCAAGGCGACGAUGCGUAGCUGGUCUGAGAGGAUGAUCAGCCACACUGGAACUGAGACACGGUCCAGACUCCUACGGGAGGCAGCAGUGGGGAAUAUUGGACAAUGGGCGCAAGCCUGAUCCAGCCAUACCGCGUGAGUGAAGAAGGCCUUCGGGUUGUAAAGCCCUUUUGUUGGGAAAGAAAAGCAGCAGGUUAAUACCCCGCUGUUCUGACGGUACCCAAAGAAUAAGCACCGGCUAACUUCGUG
rnacentral:rRNA from 1 species